rnacentral:rRNA from 1 species
GGCCAGACUCCUACGGGAGGCAGCAGUGGGGAAUAUUGCACAAUGGGGGAAACCCUGAUGCAGCGACGCCGCGUGAGCGAUGAAGUAUUUCGGUAUGUAAAGCUCUAUCAGCAGGGAAGAAAAUGACGGUACCUGACUAAGAAGCCCCGGCUAACUACGUGCCAGCAGCCGCGGUAAUACGUAGGGGGCAAGCGUUAUCCGGAUUUACUGGGUGUAGAGGGAGCGUAGACGGCUGUGCAAGCCAGAUGUGAAAGCCCGGGGCCCAACCCCGGGACUGCUCUUGGAACUGCGUGGCUAGAGUGCAGGAGGGGCAGGCGGAAUUCCUGGUGUAGCGGUGAAAUGCGUAGAUAUCAGGAGGAACACCGGUGGCGAAGGCGGCCUGCUGGACUGCAACUGACGUUGAGGCCCGAAAGCGUGGGGAGCAAACAGGAUUAGAUACCCUGGUA